UAUGUUUCCAUAAGAUAUCCUCUCAUCCUUCCCAAAUUCCAGUGAAUACAAGCCCAGUCGACCCAUUCUUUCAUCAUAUGUCAGUUUUGCCGCUCCGGGAACUAACCUGUUUCAUCUGCACUCACUCCAUC